AUGGGAGAGGAAAAUUAUUACAGGGGAGGGAAAAUUGCAGAAGGGAAACUUAGACAGAAAAGUGGACAGGGGGAGAAAAGAAGAACCGAGAGCCUGCAUCUCACCGCCACGUAUCCACUGCCAUCGCCUAGGGUUUCAAUUUCUGAAACCCUAAAAUUCGUCGUUGCUACCUUCAUCCUCAUCACGCCGAUGUCGCCAUCAUCUCCACGUCGUGUCACUCUCUGUACAUGCGAACCAAAGGGGAAAAUCAGAACAAAGCAGAGCAAAAUCGGAUAA